rnacentral:tRNA from 1 species
CUUCUGCUUUUUACUUUUGUUUUGGUGCCCAGGAGAGGACUCGAACCUCCACGGAGUUACCCGCUAGUACCUGAAAC